GCCAGCAUGGCAUAGGGGUUUAAUUGUUGGACUAUGACUCUGAAGACUAGGGUUCAAUUCCCAGCUCAGCCA